rnacentral:rRNA from 1 species
UACAGAGGUGCCGAGCGUUAGGCGGAAUCACUGGGCUUAAAGCGUGUGUAGGCGGAUGCCUAAGUACCUUGUGAAAUCCCACGGCUUAACCGUGGAACUGCUCGGUAUACUGGGUGUCUUGAGCCACUUAGGGGUUACCGGAACAAAUGGUGGAGCGGUGAAAUGCGUAGAGAUCGGGAGGAACACCAGUGGCGAAGGCGGCCUUCUGGACCAAUACUGACGCUCAUGCACGAAAGCGUGGGGAGCAAACAGG